UACAGAGGGGGCAAGCGUUGUUCGGAAUUACUGGGCGUAAAGGGUGCGUAGGCGGCGCGGUAAGUCGGGUGUGAAAUCUCGGGGCUUAACUCCGAAACUGCAUUCGAUACUGCCGUGCUUGAGGACUGGAGAGGAGACUGGAAUUUACGGUGUAGCGGUGAAAUGCGUAGAUAUCGUAAGGAAGACCAGUGGCGAAGGCGGGUCUCUGGACAGUUCCUGACGCUGAGGCACGAAGGCCAGGGGAGCAAACGGG
rnacentral:rRNA from 1 species